rnacentral:rRNA from 1 species
UACAGAGGGUGCGAGCGUUAAUCGGAGUUACUGGGCGUAAAGGGCGCGUAGGCGGUUUAGUGAGUGUGGUGUGAAAGCCCUGGGCUUAACCUAGGAAGUGCAUCGCAAACGACUAAACUGGAGUAUAAGAGAGGGUGGCGGAAUUUCCGGUGUAGCGGUGAAAUGCGUAGAGAUCGGAAGGAACGUCAAUGGCGAAGGCAGCCACCUGGCUUAAUACUGACGCUGAGGCGCGAAAGCGUGGGGAGCGAACAGG